rnacentral:rRNA from 1 species
CAGUAGCCGCGGUAAUACGAAGGGUGCAAGCGUUACUCGGAAUUACUGGGCGUAAAGCGUGCGUAGGUGGUGGUUUAAGUCCGUUGUGAAAGCCCUGGGCUCAACCUGGGAAUUGCAGUGGAUACUGGGUCACUAGAGUGUGGUAGAGGAUAGUGGAAUUUCCGGUGUAGCAGUGAAAUGCGUAGAGAUCGGAAGGAACAUCUGUGGCGAAGGCGACUAUCUGGGCCAACACUGACACUGAGGCACGAAAGCGUGGGGAGCAAACAGGAUUAGAUACCCCCGUAGUCCCUGUCUCUUAUAC